UGAUUUUAUGCUGCCUGCCUCUGGUAGUUUCAUCAAUUCUCCAAAUUCUGUCAAAUGGCAUUACUGAAUACACCCGAACCAUGUCAAAAUAUUCUCCAGCAAUUUAUCCACGUUUGAUACUACCUUAGCCAACUCAAAAAUAUGAUCAUUUCUUAAUCCAAUUCUUCUUCUUCUUUUACCAAGCAUCUGCCUUAACAUUCUCGUCUCAACCAUCCUCAAUAUAUCAUUAGUCUUAUGGAAGCCCCACAGGAAGUCACCAAUCACACAAAACCUAAAAGGUACUUCUCCACUUAACACAACCCAGAAGAGAAAAUAAUUUGUGCAGAUUUUUUUUCCCUAUUUCCUCAGCAUUUUCUCCAACUAUAAUGUUUUCUAGAAACAAUAAAUUUUCACCCUUCUUCUGAUCAUAGAUUCUCAAUUUCUCACUCCAUUAUGUUCUCACUUCAACGUAAACUUCUUCUCCAUAAGAAACUGACAAAGUUUUAUAUUGUUUGGUGUACUACCUAAGUAACCCCCCCCCCCUUUCUCUCUCUCUGUAUGUGUGUGCGUACGCGCUGAUGAGUAUCAUUUUUCUUGAGAAUAUUAUAUUCUUGAAAAGGUAAACACAGAAUAGUUCUCCCUCUCUCCAAUGCAAAAAAAGCAUUGAGUCCAAUUAUAGGAUCUUAUUCCCUCUUGCUUUCAAAAAAAAAAAAAAAAUUCACUCAAGUCAUGGAAAAGAAUAGUGCAUCUUUCUAAACAUAAUCAGAUAUACGUUAUAUGCACAGUGCACACAUCUAUCUUGAAAUUUUGAACCUGGGAAUAUUCACAGCAAUAAGUGCGAAAAUCAACAUGAAUGCUUACUUUGUUUUCUAAUUUCAGGCAAAACAAAGGAAAUAUUAACAUAUACAAAAUUCCUUUCAUACUCUGUAGAAGACUGCGAAGCAAUACUCAGAAAAAAGGAUGAGCAAAUGAUCUUUCCAUUCAACGAGCUACCUUCUCUCAAGACGAUUUUAUAUCCCCUCCAAUGCAACUACAAUUCAUUUUAAAUUAAUUAAAUCCAAAACUCUGCGUCUUUCAAGCAAAAUAAGCCAUAUGAACAUUAAAUUACACUCGAAUCUGAAUAGGGCUUCUAUUAAUUCAAAUUACAAGAUCAGAAUCCCGCGGGAAAAGAAAACAAGAAACAUAAAUCGUCGUGUCAACAAUAAUCAAAGCUUCCGAAUUUUCACCAAAAAUAUACGCUCCUAAUUAUAUUGAAACAUGGCUCAAUGUUUAAUCCAUAAGCCCAUAGUCCAGUAACACCUUUUUUCCAAGUAUAUUUAACUGGACUUCUUCGAUUAAAAUGUAAAUAAUACAAACACCAAGAAAAUAAAGCAUAUCUAAGAGCGAAACGUAGAGAAAGAAAAAGAGAUGGUUACCUGUAGAUAGGGAAUUUUGUGGGAGUUUAGCAGCAAGGAGAGAGAGAAUGCGGCGUUGAGCAAGACGAACCGCCAUAUCUAGACGCACUUCUUCUUGCAGAAAAGGGAUGCUUUUGGCGACUUGGGUACCAGGAAUCUGUAGGGAGAUUUUUCUAAAUGAGCUGCCACUAUUCUUUUGAUAAAAUGUCCCUAAUAUCCUUGAUGAAAGGAUUUAUCAAGUUUUGCACAAGAUAUCCUUAAUUUAUUAGAAUAGUUCUACAAUUUUUCUAUUUUUCUCAUUUCGAGUUUUAAUAUAUAGUUCCAUCCUUUGAUCUAAUAAAUUAGCAUAAUCUGUAAUAUAAUUAUCAUGUAAUUUACUAAAAUUAUCAUAUUCCUUAGAUGAAAUAUUCAUAGUCUCUAGUUGAGUAAAAAUAUUUCUUAUUUUUCUCAAUAGUUUUUCUAACAGAUUAUCUAAUCCUUUAAUUGUAUAACCUGACAUUAUUCAGAUAAUUCCUUGCAAGUUUUAUGAAUAAUAAUAACAUGUUAGAUAAGUUUUUUGCAAAUAUGAAAAGUAAUAAUCCUUACGAUUCUUUCAAGUUAUUAGAAAAAUUCUUUCUAAAUUUAGCAAAGACAAUAAUUUUACCUUACUUUUAAUCUUAAAUCUGUAUUCUUAGAAUCGAGAAACCUUCAGGCUCUGAAUCUGCAAACUGCUCCC
rnacentral:lncRNA from 1 species